CUGUGCUAGAAUUAUUCUUCCAGAAUUACUCCUUUUAACUAUUUUCUUUAUGUUGUAUUUGAGGUAGCUGAAAAUUUGUAAAGUGACGGGGCAGUUGGAAAGCAGAGGAAAGUGAAUUAUUUGAGCGAGUUAUGCACGAAAUUUGAAGUGACUUCCCAUCCUAUCCCCUUUUUAGGUUUUAUUAAGGAUAUAAAAUAAAACAAAAUAAUUUAUUCAAUCAAUUAGAUAGAGCUUUCAAUGAGAAGGACAAGAUAAUUUUGAAAUCUAUAAUAUUUCAGCAAUUCAUUUACACCGUUACUAUUACUAGUGAUUAAAUUUCAUAUAUGAACAAUCCACACUUCUCCCCAAGCCCUUUCAUUUGAGCCCAACGUUCUGCCAGUAAAGCUGCCAAAGCUUUCGUCAAAUGGAUUUCAGUCAAGAG
rnacentral:misc_RNA from 1 species